GGGGGAGGGCGGGGGUGGGAGAAGCUAGGGGGGAAGGCGAAGGAGCGAGGAAAAAAUUGAAAUAGCUAUUUUUUUCUCGCCUCUCCCAAUUUUCCUCGCUCCUUCGCCUUCCCCCCUACGGCUUCUCCCACCCUCGCCUUCCCCCA